AGAGUUUGAUCCUGGCUCAGGACGAACGCUGGCGGCGCGCCUAACACAUGCAAGUCGAACGAGCGAGAGAGAGCUUGCUUUCUCGAGCGAGUGGCGAACGGGUGAGUAACGCGUGAGGAACCUGCCUCAGAGAGGGGGACAACAGUUGGAAACGACUGCUAAUACCGCAUAAGCCCACGACCCGGCAUCGGGUAGAGGGAAAAGGAGCAAUCCGCUUUGAGAUGGCCUCGCGUCCGAUUAGCUAGUUGGUGAGGUAACGGCCCACCAAGGCGACGAUCGGUAGCCGGACUGAGAGGUUGAACGGCCACAUUGGGACUGAGACACGGCCCAGACUCCUACGGGAGGCAGCAGUGGGGAAUAUUGCACAAUGGGGGAAACCCUGAUGCAGCGACGCCGCGUGGAGGAAGAAGGGCUUCGGAUUGUAAACUCCUGUUGUUGAGGAAGAUAAUGACGGUACUCAACAAGGAAGUGACGGCUAACUACGUGCCAGCAGCCGCGGUAAAACGUAGGUCACAAGCGUUGUCCGGAAUUACUGGGUGUAAAGGGAGCGCAGGCGGGAAGACAAGUUGGAAGUGAAAUCCAUGGGCUCAACCCAUGAACUGCUUUCAAAACUGUUUUUCUUGAGUAGUGCAGAGGUAGGCGGAAUUCCCGGUGUAGCGGUGGAAUGCGUAGAUAUCGGGAGGAACACCAGUGGCGAAGGCGGCCUACUGGGCACCAACUGACGCUGAGGCUCGAAAGUGUGGGUAGCAAACAGGAUUAGAUACCCUGGUAGUCCACACUGUAAACGAUGAUUACUAGGUGUUGGAGGAUUGACCCCUUCAGUGCCGCAGUUAACACAAUAAGUAAUCCACCUGGGGAGUACGACCGCAAGGUUGAAACUCAAAGGAAUUGACGGGGGCCCGCACAAGCAGUGGAGUAUGUGGUUUAAUUCGACGCAACGCGAAGAACCUUACCAAGUCUUGACAUCCUGCGACGGACAUAGAAAUAUGUUUUUCCUUCGGGACGCAGAGACAGGUGGUGCAUGGUUGUCGUCAGCUCGUGUCGUGAGAUGUCGGCUUAAGUGCCAUAACGAGCGCAACCCCUCUCCUUAGUUGCCAUCAGGUUAAGCUGGGCACUCUGGGGACACUGCCACCGUAAGGUGUGAGGAAGGUGGGGAUGACGUCAAAUCAGCACGGCCCUUACGUCCGGGGCUACACACGUGUUACAAUGGCAGGUACAGAGAGACGGUUGUACGUAAGUACGAUCAAAUCCUUAAAGCCUGUCUCAGUUCGGACUGGGGUCUGCAACCCGACCCCACGAAGCUGGAUUCGCUAGUAAUCGCGCAUCAGCCAUGGCGCGGUGAAUACGUUCCCGGGCCUUGUACACACCGCCCGUCAAGCCAUGAAAGCCGGGGGCGCCUAAAGUCCGUGACCGUAAGGAGCGGCCUAGGGCGAAACUGGUAAUUGGGGCUAAGUCGUAACAAGGUA
rnacentral:rRNA from 1 species